rnacentral:rRNA from 1 species
GACGAAGGGUCCUAGCGUUGUUCGGAAUUACUGGGCGUAAAGCGGGUGUAGGCGGAUUUAUAAGUCAGGUGUGAAAUCCCGAGGCUCAACUUCGGAACUGCAUUUGAUACUGUAAAUCUUGAGUACUGGAGAGGAUAGCAGAAUUCCUGGUGUAGAGGUGAAAUUCGUAGAUAUUCGCAAGAACACCAGUGGCGAAGGCGGCUCACUGGCCCGAUACUGACGCUGAGGCACGAAAGCGAUGGGG